UAUCUCACCAAGCCUCCGGCAAGCGGCAACAAACAGAAGUACAAAACUACGAGUUGAAAUUUCUGUAACACGAGUUGCUUUCCGGUAGGCGUUCGACCUUUGCCGCAAAUUACUGGUCUCCAAGUUUUCGCUUCAUGUUUGUGGUUCUAUUUGAUCUCUCCUUUCAGGAAAUGAUCUCGUUCUGGUAUUUUUCAAUACUAUUCAAGCUUGUCGGACUUUGAACAGAAUACUUUCCACGUAGCCUGGUUGGCCCGUUGAAAGCUAUCGUGAUUGAAUGUGAUUUGGCAUAGACUUUUUUGCCAAUGAAAACUAGGGUUCUGAUGAUGCACGAUCUGGUAUUCUGCUGGCGAAUAGUUCGGAUAUUGGACUAAAUAGAUCGUCUGGUCGAGUGUCCGGGAUGCUUUAUUCAGAAUGGGCACUUUGAUGCUUAAAUCAACAAAUUGAUUACACUCGGCCCUUUUACACACCCUCUUUUACUCUAAUACAAAUGAAGUUUGUAUUGCAAACAAAUGCAGCCUUCUGGUUAAUCAAAGCAGAAAACAGGUAUUGAAAUGAGGAGAGGUGGUUUAAGUAAUAAGCAGCAGGUGUGGAAGCACAUCCUUUUGUUUCCCAAAAUAGUGUUAGGAUUGCAAGGGACUUAAGUAGUGUGUUGGGAUCUGGUGUGUCACUGAACUUCAGCGACUGAAGUUGGUGGGUUUUAAGAUAAUCACAUGGGAAUGUUUCAUCUUCUCUAUACAAUUAUACAUGAUUUGAUAAAACAUAUGUAUCCAGAUCUGUUACAAUUCGGAAUUCAUCUUGAUAAGCUUAUCUAUCCUUGUAGAUAAUCUUGGCAGUUUUCAUGUUUAUCCUAAACUCUGUAUAUUCAUUGUAUGACUUAAAGUCUAGACUAUUUGCUUUGUUGAUGUAUUAUCAGCCAAUUCAUAUUCAAUUUUGUUUCUGUUGUUUCUUAAUUA